rnacentral:rRNA from 1 species
GGGCGGUCGCCUCCUAAAAGGUAACGGAGGCGCUCAAAGGUUCCCUCAGAAUGGUUGGAAAUCAUUCAUAGAGUGUAAAGGCAUAAGGGAGCUUGACUGCGAGACCUACAAGUCGAGCAGGGUCGAAAGACGGACUUAGUGAUCCGGUGGUUCCGCAUGGAAGGGCCAUCGCUCAACGGAUAAAAGCUACCCCGGGGAUAACAGGCUUAUCUCCCCCAAGAGUUCACAUCGACGGGGAGGUUUGGCACCUCGAUGUCGGCUCAUCGCAUCCUGGGGCUGUAGUCGGUCCCAAGGGUUGGGCUGUUCGCCCAUUAAAGCGGUACGCGAGCUGGGUUCAGAACGUCGUGAGACAGUUCGGUCCCUAUCCGUCGUGGGCGUAGGAAAUUUGAGAGGAGCUGUCCUUAGUACGAGAGGACCGGGAUGGACAUACCUCUGGUGUACCAGUUGUCGUGCCAACGGCAUAGCUGGGUAGCUAUGUGUGGACGGGAUAAGUGCUGAAAGCAUCUAAGCAUGAAGCCCCCCUCAAGAUGAGAUUUCCCAACUUCGGUUAUAAGAUCCCUCAAAGAUGAUGAGGUUAAUAGGUUCGAGGUGGAAGCAUGGUGACAUGUGGAGCUGACGAAUACUAAUCGAUCGAAGACUUAAUCAA